rnacentral:rRNA from 1 species
UAGUCCACGCUGUAAACGAUGAGUGCAAGGUGUUGGGGGUCAAACCUCGGUGCCGCCGUUAACACAGUAAGCACUCCGCCUGGGGAGUACGUACGCAAGUAUGAAACUCAAAGGAAUUGACGGGGACCCGCACAAGUAGCGGAGCAUGUGGUUUAAUUCGAUGCAACGCGAAAAACCUUACCAGGACUUGACAUAAAAGUGACGAGGGAUAGAGAUAUUCCUCUUCUCUUCGGAGACAGUUUUAC